AUAAACCAGAAUUUCCAGUUCCAUAUCUUCCUCGAGUCAACGAUGACGAGCCACCUGUCAAUCGUGCCAAUCACCAACAACAAUCGUCACUGUCACAGCAUGAAAAAACAAUGAUAAAAGACAUGACACUUGUCAGUCAUGGUCUACAACCACCAUUAGUGGGUUAUUCUGUACCAGAACAAUGUCUAGAGAAAAUAAACUUCACUUUGGAAACACUCCAUGGUAAAAUAGAAGAAAUGGAAAAGAAAUUAAUGGAAUUGGAAGCUAAACGAAUAAAACUGCUCGCAGAGCUAGCUAGAAAAGAAUUCCCAGGAAUAAAUGGUGUGAUUUAUUCACAGAAAAAAAAGAAAGGAAAAAAAAAGAAGCCAAAACCAACCAGUUCGAUACAAAAUGGGAAGAUAACUGAUGAAAUUAUUAUUGAAAGACUGGAUAAAAAGGGUUUAGCCAAGCUUUGUUCGAAAGCAGAUAUUCGAGUUGUUGAUGUAGAAAUUGAAAGAAUUCGCCAAAAGAUAAAAGAUGUUACAUUUAGACAGAAUCAACUAAAAG